AAGUCGUAACAAGGUCUCCGUUGGUGAACCAGCGGAGGGAUCAUUACCGAGUUUCCAACUCACAACCCAUCGUGAACAUACCUCUGUUGCUUCGGCGGUACGGGGUCGCCCCUCCGGGGGAGCCCGGCGCCGCCGGAGGUACUCAAACUCUUGUUUUACCACUGUGGUUACCUCUGAGUAUUCUUGAAAUAAAUCAAAACCUUCAACAACGGAUCUCUUGGCUCUGGC
rnacentral:misc_RNA from 1 species